CGCGUAGGCGGCUUUAUAAGUCGGGGGUGAAAGCCUGUGGCUCAACCACAGAAUUGCCUUCGAUACUGUAGAGCUUGAGACCGGAAGAGGUAAGUGGAACUGCGAGUGUAGAGGUGAAAUUCGUAGAUAUUCGCAAGAACACCAGUGGCGAAGGCGGCUUACUGGUCCGGUUCUGACGCUGAGGCGCGAAGCGUGGGGAGCAAACA
rnacentral:rRNA from 1 species